AUGGCGACCGGCGCACGGGUGAGUAACACGUAUCCAACCUGCCGAUGACUCGGGGAUAGCCCUUUCGAAAGAAAGAUUAAUACCCGAUGGCAUAGUUCUUCCGCAUGGUAGAACUAUUAAAGAAUUUCGGUCAUCGAUGGGGAUGCGUUCCAUUAGCUUGUUGGCGGGGUAACGGCCCACCAAGGCAUCGAUGGAUAGGGGUUCUGAGAGGAAGGUCCCCCACAUUGGAACUGAGACACGGUCCAAACUCCUACGGAAGGCAGCAG
rnacentral:rRNA from 1 species